CAUUUUAACACUAUAAAUACUACAAGAAAAUUGACGUUGAUUUUUUACAUUCUUUCUAUUUGCAAAUCUCACUACCGUCGCAGAUAUUAGAAACGAAAUUGAAGUGACGUGGGAAGAGUUUUACAAGUGCCAAUUGCACUUGAUUAACGUAACUUUAAACACUCCAUACACGAAAUUCAAAUGCGCGGAUGGUGGUGACAAUUCGACAGUCAAAGAGAUUUCUUUCACUAUUAAAGGUUUGAUGAAUUAAAAUAAUAAAAAAUGCCAAGUCCUAUGCAAAUCAGUUUCAUGUUUAAUUAACAAUACUAACCAAUUUCUUUUGAUUUAAUAGAAAUAGACAACGACCCAUUGUCUAAUUCAAUUAUCCUGGAAAAAGGAGUUGGCCGAAAUUUGAUCUGAAACCGACUAUCGCAACAUGUUCCCAUUCAUUGGCUCAAGGUGAAAUCUUUAAUUAUUCUCCUAAACGAUAUUUUAACCCAUUAAACGAAUCCGCUUCUGUUUUGCCACUGCAAGGAAAAUAAAACGAAAGAGGAAUCUACAAAUGUCGAUGGAAAAAUAGCAGAGAAGAAAGACAAAAUAACUUCACAGUCAGCAUCUCGUUUUUCAAACAACCAGCAUUUCACAUCAUCGCCAUGACUGCCACUUUAAUCGGAUUACUGGCAGUUGGAACGGGAAUCGGAAUUUAAGUUUACCGCGACAAAAUAAAAAAUGUGGAAAAGGAACUCAACAAAAUUUGGAACGAAGAUCAGAGAAAAAUCGACCCAGACGUUGGAAUAUCAAACGGAAUUCCUGCCCUACGAUAAGAAAUGGGAAUUCCCUAGUAAACGGCUCAGACUCGGUCAAGAACUGGGAUCCGGUUGUUUCGGUCAAGUUGUUAAAGCAGACGCAGUGGGCAUCAAAGACUCGGAUGAAACUGUGACAACAGUGGCCGUCAAAAUGAUCAAACCGACUGCCAAUUGCCAAAUCUCCUAACGCACUGGACGCUCUCAUAAGGGAAUUAAAAAUUAUGAUUUAUUUGGGACCGCACUUAAAUGUCGUCAAUUUAAUGGGGGCCUGCACCAACACUAUGAUCAAAG